UUAAGGGUCCCUUCCAACUCAAACGAUUCUAUUAUUCUGUGACUUCUGCAAACAGAGGCCUCAUUUUAUCUGAAGGCAAAUGAGAAUAAAUGUGCUUUUCAAAUAGGAAAAAGCUGAACAAAAACAGAAAUGAGAAGAUGUGGCAGAGAAAAUUCUGCCUUGCUCACUGCAUGACUCUUCCAGGUCCAUCCCUGGUCUCAGGCCCUGACCUGCUACAUGGCACCGCUCUGCACUGCCCCUCUGGCCCUGAGCUCCGCUUGAGGCCCAGGCAGGAGGGCUGCCCCUGCCCCCCCUGCUGCUGAGCCCCCACCAGCUCAUGGGCCUGGAGGGUGCUCCACAGCUCCCAGAACUACCAGCACCUGCUGUAGCACUCCAUCUGACCCGGAAGCACAGAACCAGGCAACAGAACCCAGAACCCACCACGGCAGCAGCACAAUGAGAAUGCUGCCCCGUCAGCAAAUGCUCCCGCUCUGCAUUGGAUCGCAAGCAUCCAGCAGGACAGCACGAGUGUGGUGUCACCAUGGCAGCUCCUAGCAAUAAAGGAAGAAUGCUGAGACCAAGUCCCAGAGGAACCUAUGUUGAUGAUCUGUAUUUUUAAAAAGAUAUUUUUAUUACAAACAUUAUCUCAAAAUCUAUGCAAUUAAACUAAAACUGGAAUAGUUAAAUCAGAUUCUCUUCCUGGCCCCAGGACUUCAGGAGAGCUACUAAGGCUCUGGCAUGCUGCUGCUACAUUUUCCUGCACUUUAAAAUGAAAAUUGCUUCUCCCUGUAGCUGUGGUGUGGAAAAAAGUGUGAACACAAGGUGCAGGUAACAUAGCAACAUCAGCUACCUGGAGCCAACCCUCUGCGUGCUGAGCAGCCACGGCCUGGCCAUCGGGUGAGGGAUGGCCGUGCCUCCGCAGCCCACAAGGACCCUCGCAGCGCUCUGUGGCCACUGUCUCCCUUGGACUUUCCUGCCCAGAGGCUCUGCUUCUCCCUCUGGCUCUUCUGAUCUGGAGGAGGAUGCCCAGGUCUUUCCCAUAUGCCACAUCCACUGGACUGUGAAGUGAGCUGAAAUUUCAAUAGACCAGGCAAUCUGUGACAACAUGGAUGCCUCUUAUCUCUGACAUAUCACCACUGACAUGAAAGGGUCUGUUCACAUGUACUUUCUAACUAGUAACAUAACUUUGAGCAACUGAGAAACGUCAGUUUCUUGUCCACAGAGCUACUGCUCCAAAGGGAGUUCAGAUCUCAUUUGCACAGCUUAUCUCUUUGAAAUGAAACUUCACAGUGCAAGUGUUCUAUCUGAGAAAAGUAUCUGGGUCACCACACCUGUACAAAUACAUUUAGUCCUGGAACAGUCCAUAUGAGAGAAUAACACUGAACCCAGCACACUGCAGACUGUGGGAAGGGCUGCAGACACCAGCAAUGAUAAAGGCACCAAAAAGAAAGCACCAGCUCCUGCAGCCAAGCAGGUCUAGGACAGCAAGAGCCAUCAGUCAGAGGUGAUUGGGACCAGGCAGCCAGGACAGACAUAUGCAAUGAAGUGGAGCAGGGAGAAACAUGGACAGGAAAUAACAAGAUUCACCUCGGAAAAAUGCAACUACAACAAAACAGCCUAAAAACCUGCCUCUGGGAGGGAAAUCCUGGGAAACAGUCAUCGAUGAUUUAUGAUGUGCUCCACCCUGAGCACAAAUGUAGAAGAACACAGUGAGCAUCACUGGACCACCCCUUUGUCAAGUCACUCCCCUCUCUCACUAAUACUGAUUUAGAGAAAAUUAAUAAACUCCCCAUUUUAAAACUGCCAUAUUUCCUUCUUGACAGUCCAUUCCCUACUGGAUUUUUCCAGACUUCAAGCCUCCAGUUGGAUGUCUAUGAGGAUGCUUCAUCUCAAAUUGGCUUACAUAGGACAGAAGAACUUCUUGGAAAAAAGACUGGUCUUAAAGCAGGGAUAUGCCAAUGGUCAACCAGUAUGUCAGUCAUGUGUGUAGGAAAUUAAUAAGUUUUGUUGGGAAGUAGUGCUUGUCCCCUGGAAGGAAUUCCAUGGGCCCUGGUAACAGCAGGUCCGAUUACAAAUUGCAAUGCUGCACGCACCACCAGAGGUUCCCUUUCCAUCUGGAGCAAAGCUGUUCUGCUGGUGAAUGUGGACUCUACGCAGAAACAAGCAUCACUGAUGAAAUACGUGUCUAUGCUAUUACCCUUUGACAGGAAAUGUGACAUAGCUGUACAGAAUUCAGGGCUGACCCCAAAUAUCUUUAUUUCUGUGCAAUUCACAGCUUUUGCUGUUCCAAGUAAGCUUCAGCUCAUGUGUCUUACCUACAGAAUGAGCACACACAGAAAUUGCCUAUUACCACAUCAGGGUUUAAAUGCAAUUUUGACUUCGUGUUAUUGCAGCUAUAAAAAGGAAGGCAAAGGCUCCAAGCCCAUAAGACUUGAUCGCCAUUGUAUAAUGCAGAGUUAUGAACUAAAUGUACUCAUUUGGAAGAGGCCUCGUUCCUACUCCUGCUACUAAAGAAUCACGGAAUCAUUAGGUUUGGAAAAGACCACUAAGAUCUUCUAGUCCAACCAUCAACCUGUCAUCAUCACGUC